rnacentral:lncRNA from 1 species
UUUGGGGUUAAAUCGAAAUAUACUGAACUUUUGGAGCAAAUUUAUAAUUCUGAUAACUUCAUGGGUUAUUUCAUAAAAUUUUGAAAAUUUAUGAUGAUGUUGCGCUGACUGGAUGAUGACGUGGCGAUGACUAGAUGAUGACUGGAUGACGACGUGGCGCUGACUGUGCAAUGACUAUUCAUUAUCUUACAGAAAAAAUAGUAAACUUUAAAUUGCCAUAACUUCUUCGUUUUAGCUUUGUUUUGCCUCUGGAAAAUUGCGUUGAACUUGUAUCGACGUAAGGAAUCUAUUGAAAUGAUCAAAAUACAUCGAAGAUCACGUUAUUGAAAAACGUAAAUCCGGGUUGAAAUUUUCGUGUUCCGAUAUUUCUCGAUGAACACAGAAUCGAAGUCUCUGAUACCACUUGUUGUGAUUCUCUGAUCACAAUGAAGAUUAUUUGGGAGGAAAAACAACUCUAUUUCACAAGAAUAGAAUUGCAGAGAAUUUACACCAAGAAUUUCUCUCUACAAAAAAAACCUCACCAAACUCUCUUUUGUUCUCACAAUCUCUUCCUGGAUUGUAU